AGAGUUUGAUCCUGGCUCAGGAUGAACGCUAGCGGCAGGCCUAACACAUGCAAGUCGAGGGGUAACAGGGUAGCAAUAUCGCUGACGACCGGCGCACGGGUGAGUAACGCGUAUGCAACCUUCCUUUAACUGGGGAAUAGCUUUCGGAAACGGAAAUUAAUACCCCAUAAUGUUCUGAUUGGACAUCCUUUUAGAAUUAAAGCUCCGGCGGUUAAAGAUGGGCAUGCGUACCAUUAGCUAGUUGGUGAGGUAACGGCUCACCAAGGCUACGAUGGUUAGGGGGUCUGAGAGGAUGAUCCCCCACACUGGUACUGAGACACGGACCAGACUCCUACGGGAGGCAGCAGUGAGGAAUAUUGGGCAAUGGGCGCAAGCCUGACCCAGCCAUGCCGCGUGAAGGACGAAGGCCCUAUGGGUUGUAAACUUCUUUUAUACGAGACGAAACUUCCGGUCGUGACCGGGAUUGACUGUAUCGUAAGAAUAAGCAUCGGCUAACUCCGUGCCAGCAGCCGCGGUAAUACGGAGGAUGCAAGCGUUAUCCGGAUUCAUUGGGUUUAAAGGGUGCGUAGGCGGGAUAAUAAGUCAGUGGUGAAAGCCUGCGGCUUAACCGUAGAAUUGCCAUUGAUACUGUUAUUCUUGAGUAUAGUUGAGGUGGGCGGAAUGUGUAAUGUAGCGGUGAAAUGCUUAGAUAUUACACAGAACACCAAUUGCGAAGGCAGCUCACUAAGCUGUUACUGACGCUGAGGCACGAAAGCGUGGGGAGCAAACAGGAUUAGAUACCCUGGUAGUCCACGCCGUAA
rnacentral:rRNA from 1 species